CCUCGGUGAAUACGUUCCCGGGCCUUGUACACACCGCCCGUCAAGCCAUGGAAGCUGGGUGUACCUAAAGUCGGUAACCGCAAGGAGCCGCCUAGGGUAAAACUAGUAACUGGGGCU
rnacentral:rRNA from 1 species